CGCAAUGGACAUAAAACGUGUGACGGAU
rnacentral:sRNA from 1 species